UACGUAGGGUGCAAGCGUUAAUCGGAAUUACUGGGCGUAAAGCGUGCGCAGGCGGUUGUGCAAGACCGAUGUGAAAUCCCCGGGCUCAACCUGGGAAUGGCAUUGGUGACUGCACGGCUAGAGUGUGUCAGAGGGGGGUAGAAUUCCAACGUGUAGCAGUGAAAUGCGUAGAGAUGUGGAGGAAUACCGAUGGCGAAGGCAGCCCCCUGGGAUAACACUGACGCUCAUGCACCGAAAAGCGUGGGGAGCAAACAGG
rnacentral:rRNA from 1 species